GGUAACAGGUCUGUAUGGCUCAAACAAUAAUGCAGGUUGUUUGUAUUCUGACAGUAGGCCAGCCACGCAGCCAGCCCUCAUGUCCACUAGAAGAUCGCAUACAUUUGGAGAGACCAUGCCUUCAACAAGAUCUGGAGAACGCACCCCAUUGAGGUGUGUCCAGAAUGAAAUGCGCCAUCUCUCAACCCCAUCUUCUAGACUCAAAUCGAGAUCAGGGUCGGGCAGCAAUAUCCUCAAAACACCCAAGAAUGAUGCUGUGUUCAUCUACACAGACCCGUUAACACAUUGCCCUCCACCAUCUGAGGUCCUAUGCUCUCCUAGUGUUCCAAAGCCCAGUGAUAAAACUACUACCAGUGAUACAGCUCCUACCGCUGAGGACACAGCUGUUUAUACAAGCAGUGGACUUGGAGACAUUACCUUCAAGUCYUUCAUCUGUGCUGGGGGUGAGGUUGAGGUUUCAGAGCCUUCAAGGGUUGUAGACGAAACCAUCCGGCUACCCAAGAAUCAACUGAACAUCUCUUCUCUUCCUGGCUAUGAUGUUGAAAACACAUGUCUCUCUGACAGUAUGGUUACUCAAUGCUGCGACAACCAUGUGGAUCACRUCUAUUGUGAUUUGGAAAGCGAUUUGGCCACAACUGAAGCUGACCUGUCCUUUAAUGGRGGUUCAAACGCCAGUCUUAGYGUUCCACAGUUCACCGAUAUAGCCCACAUCACUGAGACUGUUACUGGCGGACAGGGMGAUGUAACGUUUAAAUCUUUCAUCUGCACCGGAGGGGAGGUGGAAGUUCCAGAGGCUUCCAGGGUGGCACUUGAGACUAUACUCCUACCAACGGAUCAGCCUGCAAACCACCAUCAGCCAUACAACGGCAGUGUAUAUCAAAGUGUUAUAGUAGAUGACUUGGACAUGCAGUCCAUCGAUGACCACGCAGAUCAUCUCUAUUGUAAUAUGGCCUCCUCUAGUGCACACCUUUCCUUCAAAGAACCUACACAUUGUGGUCUUCAAAAUAGUACUUUGAAAUCCAUAGAGAUGGUCMAUACCARUGAAGAGUCAACUGAUGUUCAAAAUGCCACUGGCGGUCAAGGACAUGUGACAUUCAAAUCCAUCUGCACUGGGCUUGAGGUUGAAGUCUCAGAGUCCACCAGAGUGUCYGAAGACACUAUCCUCCUACCUGAGAAUCAGACUGUGACCAGUCAUCUACCGUACAACGACAGGGUCAACCCAAGUAUCAUAGAGGAGCAGUCCUCCGAUCAUGCAAAACACCCUUACAGCCAUAUGGAAAGUGAAGGUGCCGUGUGGAAAGCGGACACCGCUGCCAUCAGUGAGCCCUCAAUGGGAAAUGCAUCCUUAAGGUCAUCAUUGAAGGACCUGGAUGAUGUCGCCUGUCAGCUUUUCCCUGAAGGCCCCAAACAGGGUUCUUCUCCUCAUGAUGAAGACAGCGCCGUGGUUCCAUCUAUGCAGUUGGAAACUGACCGCUCCCAUUGCAAUGAGUUUGGAGCCUCGGCCAGGAGCUCCACACCUGUAGAUGAGGACAACCCAUCGAUAGUCUCUCACUCCCAUUCUCAUGGUWCAAUGCAGGAGUCCAGUGGGGCCAGAGACAGCGCGCUGGGUUCAAGCAGUAAYGCUCCUCUUCUCUCCAACACUACAGACGAAGCGAGCUCUGAGAACAUUGCUGACGUGUUGACYGAGCAACCCAAGAUCCCCUCUGUAGCGAGGUGGGCCGGCGGUGGUGAUGCUUUACAGUUUGAGAUCUUCAGCCCCGUUCUUAGCACUACCCCCAUGACCAGAAGAGGGGGCAUUCAGAAAUCGUCUUUCGCCCAAAUGGAGGAUUCCACUCUAGAAAACGGCAGGGGCUGUGUCCUCAACUCUGCUGAGGGUAGCUUCGUUGUCCCGGCCAACCCAGACAGCCGACUCUGGGCUGCCGUCCUGGAGAGCCCCAUGCCUCUGCCCAAGUUCAACUCGACGGCAGUGGGUGMCGCAUCGACCCGCAAGCCCCCUCCUUCUCUAGACCCAGUCACAGAGACUGUGGAGACGAGGGUAGAAGUGGAUGUACCUCAUGUAAAAUCCCAACCCAAGGUGGAGAAAGUAGAGAUGGGUCUUUUUGAUCAUUUACCAAGGUUGGUUUGUGAGGAGCCCUUUCAGCAGCAACUCAUCCAGAUGGCCCAAUUCCUCAUCCUGGCAUGGUGCAAGAUGGUCCCUGUUAGCAACCCUGCCCUAGCUCCUACACCUGCUCCCGCCCCUCCUGUAGUGGAAACUACAGCGGGGACCACGGCUGUAGAGUGCCACAGCAUGUGUGUUGGCACCACUCCAGUGAGGCAGGCAGACCGCAGUGCCAACACCUCAGGUCAGUUUGAGAGGAAGAGGGAGUUCUCUGUGUCUGACGCCUGCACCAGCACCGAGACUCUGCUCUGGAAUCUGGCCCCUGGGAGCCUGUGCGGGGUCCCCAGACAGGAGCUGGAGCAGAGGCUGACCUCCACUCUCAUCAUGGUGGAGGCCCUGGUGCAGCAGCUGUGCACAGCCAGGGGACAGGGCCACUCURGGGGCCCCGGGCCCUCAGAACUCAGGGACAAGCUGGUCCAGACCGACCACACUGAACUCAGCCAGACGGUAACCUACAAAGACCUGUAUGUGACGGCCCUGGAGAGGAUCAAGGAGCUAGAACUGGACCAGACCACUCUACACAACCUGCUUCACAGCAUGCAGGACACCAGGAGCACCAUGACAGCCCUGAGUGGAGACACUGAGGUGGCUCUCAGCAGCAUGAGGCAGAUAAGAGACCUGKUUAAAGAGGACCAGCAGAGCCUGGUUACACAGUAUGGUCAGAUGAAGUCCCUUUAUGAGAAGUGCAAGGAGACCCAGGGCAGGAUGGUGCAGAAGGUCCGAGACACCCUGCAGCAGAGAGAGGACAUGAGGAGACGGAUGGAGGAGGCUUACACCGCCAAGGACGCAGCCUUCAGUGUGACCGAGCAGCUGAGGGCUCGUGCCGUGCGUAUCUCUGAGCUGGAGGAGUGUGUGGGAUCUCACCAGGAGCUGAUGGCUGCCCUGAACAAGACCUACUCAGAACAGGUUGCAUUGAACAAGGCCUACGUGGAAUCCCUCAACUCUGCAUCUGAGCUCCUGACAGGAACCAUGAGCGAUCACGACAGUCUGCAUCAAGAGCUGAAAACAGCAAGGCGUCUCCUCCAGAGGACAACUCCUAUACUGGUGAAGCUGAUGAGAAGGCAGCCAACGCUUAGGAGAGAGAGACCAGCACCUCUCGGAGAGAGACCAAACUGUGGAGGAGAGAGAGCAGAUCCAAGAGGAACUGGACCAAACCAACGUGAGUCUCCAAGAUGCCAGACAGGAGAUUGGGGACUUGAAUCUGCAGGCCACAAUCAUGAAUUCGGAGUUGGGUGUUCUGCGUCAGAAGCUGAGUGAGGGAGAAGAGGAGGCAGUUCAGCUGGAGAGGAAGGUCACGGAGCUGUCUGCCACCGUCUCUUCUACCCUGGCCUCCUAUGCCUUCUAGAGCAGGCCUUGGCUGCAGAGUCCACCAAGUUGCAACAGUCAUGGCAAGAAGUCCAGCAAGCUACCGACCGGGCCAACCAGUAAGUAAACUCCUCAGCACCUCAUUU